CUCGGCUCCGGGCACUUAGCUCCUUAUGGUUAGCCCGACCUAGAAACUGAUAUUAUUUUAUUUCAUGAAAGCUCAACUUGACUGCAUUAAUGCUUUGCACAGAGUGUUCUCCCUAUUUCACCUUUUGGUACCCAUUGACGAUUCUUGGAUGGUGAAGCAUAAUGUGAAAUGUAAAUUUUGGUUGCUGUGGUUUACACUCACUGGCCUAUGGAAAUGGCAAUAAUUUAGACGAUUGCUGUAUAUUAAGUAGGAUCUGAGCAAAAUGUGUUUGUGAUUGUGUGUAGUAAUCUCACAUGUGAGGCAAAUCUUCCAAAACUUUGACCAUCUUGUAAUCACCUUAAGUGCAAUGCUAACUUAGAUAGUUC
rnacentral:lncRNA from 1 species